rnacentral:rRNA from 1 species
UACGUAUGGGGCUAGCGUUGUCCGGAAUCAUUGGGCGUAAAGCGCGUGUAGGCGGUCCGGUAAGUCCGCUGUGAAAGUCGGGGGCUCAACCCUCGGAUGCCGGUGGAUACUGUCCGGCUUGAGUACGGAAGAGGCGAGUGGAAUUCCUGGUGUAGCGGUGAAAUGCGCAGAUAUCAGGAGGAACACCAAUUGCGAAGGCAGCUCGCUGGGACGUUACUGACGCUGAGACGCGAAAGCGUGGGGAGCAAACAGG